GCGUAUGAAAAUUAUAGGCUUCUUAAUUUUGAUACACCGUGUAUGUGUUUCUCAAAGUGUGGCUGCCUAUUCUGUGGUUUUAGGUUAGGUGAGAUGUAUUUUGAAAAAUGUGUCGCCGUUGAAAUAUCACCUCUCGUUCGCAAAAUCGGGCCAUCAAAAACGGACACUGGUACUGAAUCUUCUCCAGGCAGACGGUGCCCGCUAAACUUUUCGUGAACUUAAACACGCUGGUCGAUCUCACUGAAAUCUUCCAGUUAUUCUCACCGAUGACGCACCAGUGCAGUACUUACGGCACAGAAGCCCCCCCAGCAUGCAGGUGUGAUGAUUCGACACUAUGAAGUAAGUGCCAUGUUCCGAGCUGACGUCGAAAUGCGCGACCGCCCUGUUGCUCAGGUACGGCCAGUGAGACAAAUUCUCGGUGUACUCGGCCGAGUACUGCCACCUGUUGUAGUUACCGCUUUCGGAGAGGAUGUCGAACUCCACUCUAAAAUUGAAAGUUAAGUCGGGAAUUGUCCCGUUCGUGUGGCCUCACAUUGUCGGGUUGAGAUGCUUCAUGUUCCCGAAGUCCGCGACGUACUCCCAAACGUUGGCGGGGGCGACGUUUUUGAUUAUCGCGGACUCCUGAUAAUCGUAGAGGUGACAUCGGAAUAGCAGGUAACUGACGGCGAUAAUCGUACCGGCUAGUAGGAAGGUAAGGCGCCUCUUUACGACACGUUGCAUUUUGGCGGAGUGAUGCUGGCUUCUUAAAAUAGACGCAGGACAGGAUGCUGGCUAUCAUUUUAACAUAAAAGAUAAAUAAACAUAAAAGCUGGGUGUUUAAA